rnacentral:rRNA from 1 species
GGCGACAAGCCGUAGGAAGGUGGGGAUGACGUCAAGUCAGCAUGGCCUUUAUAUCCUGGGCUACACACACGCUACAAUGGGAAGGGACAAUAGGUUGCGAAGCCGCGAGGCGGAGCCAAUCCAGCAAAACUUCCCUCAGUUCAGAUUGCAGGCUGCAACCCGCCUGCAUGAAGUUGGAGUUGCUAGUAAACGCAGGUCAGCCAUACUGCGUUGAAUACGUUCCCGGGGCUU